rnacentral:tRNA from 1 species
GGAUUGUGGCUUAGCGGUAGAGUACUUGCCUAGCACACUCGAGGCUCUGGGUUCAAGCCUCAGCACCA